GGGCAUACAAGAUUCAUAAAUAAAGUGAAUUUCUUUAAAGAUUCAAUAUAAUUCAGAAAACCAAAAACCCAAGAGAGAAACUGUAAAAUUGACCCGUAAAUAUCAUAAAGCCUGUUACCGUGUUGGGUGGCAACUCGAGCGACGGAGGUCACUGGUCACGGAGCGAGCAGCUGUGAGGGCCGGCCGAGCGUUAGGGUUGAAAUUGUUUUGUGGUUUGAUGAGUGCUCGUGUAAUUUAUGAAAGAGAGUGGAGAUUGGAGAAGAAGACGCCUAAGGAGGAGAUGAACUUCAAAUGAGGGCUGACGCCGUCACCUCGUCUGCCAGCCUGGUCGUCGUCCGGUUGGAGUUUGAGGCGGGACUCAAGGACUCUGGGAGCAAUCGAUUCCCCAGUCACCGGUGAAUGAGGGAAAAACGAUUGGAAGAUAGAAUUUCCUUUCUCAUUUCAAUUAAUCGAAUAUUAAAAAUAAUAAUGGGCCGAGGCCCCUGCAGUUCUGGGCCUGAGGCGCAGGCUCAUAUGCCUCGCUGCAGGAAGGCUCUCAGUGAUGUUAUUUCUGCCGGGAUUCCCG
rnacentral:lncRNA from 1 species